rnacentral:misc_RNA from 1 species
GAAGGUUCGCAUUCUUGCCAAUGGAACCGAAAGAUAAAAACAAAUACAAAAAACAGACAUACAGAUGGAGAAUCAGCAGGCGAAGACAAUCACUUCCACAGUUCUUCCAUUGGAAUUCCGCGCUCACGAGCAACAUCACUGAACUGCCUCAUUUUCCGGACAGCCAUGAUGGUGGCUCUUGCGUUGUUGAGGGCAUUCUUGCUUCGUAUCUGCUUACCAAGAGCAUUCUCCACGCCAGCCAUUUCCAGUACUAUCCUUACUGCCCCACCAGCGAUAACCCCGGUUCCUGGUGAGGCUGGCCUCAGCAUAACCUUUGCAGCCCCGUAGUCUCCAUCAGAUCUGUGAGGAAAAGUGGAGUACUUCGUCAUCGGCACCGAGAUGAUAUUCCGCCUCGCAUUCACCGCAGACUUAACAAUCG